GCUUGGGAAAGAAGCGGUCAAACGAAUCAAGCACGAGAAGAAAAGCAUAUUCGGAUGCGAGGAAAUAACAUAAGUAUGCGUUGCUUAAACUAGAAAGCUUUAAAGCAAAAGUUAUGUAAACGGGUCAAUACCUUGACCCGAGCCAGGUACACUUUGGGAUGCCGGAAGACGAUCAAGCUCAACGAAGAACCGAACACAC